rnacentral:lncRNA from 1 species
CAUGCAUGAUAGAGCCUGAAGAAUUAACAUACUGUCUAGAAUGACUACAAACUACAAAGAACAACCCAGAUACCGGACUCCAGUAGUCCAAGCACAUUGGAUAGUGUGUUUUGAGAUGUCCUUAGGAAACCUGAAAUGUGCUUCUAAACAUUCUGGAAAAAAAAAGUCUAAGAACAACUCAUAAGACAGUAGGCCCUGAAGUUGCCAUGCUGGAAAAUCAGCCAAGAACAAAAAUCCACGUAGAAUGAGAAGUGCAGCCAUUCUAGCUGUACCUGUGAAGUCCAUUUCCAAGCUGACCUGCUCAGUUGAAUGCAACACAUACGUGAGCUCAGAAUAUUAUGUAGUUACAAGAUCCUUCAAGUUUAAGCUGAACCCUAUUCUUCAGGAAUCUUCUCUUAUACCUGGCGAUGGUUCUGAGCUGCUUCUCUUUGUUUUUGUCUGUGACGCUGCACUAUGACCAUUGGACUUGCAUAUGACUUCCUUGUGGCACCUCAAAUACUUGCUAAGGGGGAUUAGAGAGAAGAUUGAAGCCAGAGAUUCUGAGGACAGAGUAGCUGUUAAAUGUUUUCACUCAUGCUUUUUUUUUUUUUUAACCCGGUUUACUAUUAUCUAUUAGUAAGUGAAUUCUUUUCUGGAAAAUUCUACCAAACAUAAUCACAGUAAAUAAAGUUGCAUUAUCUCGUUAAAUUAUCAUUGUAAAAAGAUAGUUGCAUGUAGCCCCACCUGGGCUUCUGUCUUACAGAAUAUCUUUGUGUCUUGCUGUUAUUAUUUGCAAAUCGGAGAUAUGUGACACUCCUGUAUCUUCUAGGGCGUGUUGCCUCAAACUCUAAUAUGCAUAGAUACCUCCUGGGAUUUUGUUUAAGAUAUAGAUUCUAAUUCAGUCACUCUGGGGAGCCACCUGAGAUUCUGCAUUUUUAACAAGCUUCUAGCUGAUGCUGAUGUAGGUGCUGUACAGAUUACCCUUUGAGUAGCUAGGCUUUACAGUUGUAGGGUAAAGGACUUCCAGAUUGAAGUUUACACAGAGAGUUUAUACAGACCUCUAAUUAUUGAUGGUAGCUUAAUAGUUUAUCCCACGGUUGUAUCAUAACUUAGUUAAUAAUUUCCAUAUUGUUGGAAAUGUGCCUAUGCUUUGGCUUUUAUAACUAUUAGUCUAACAAGUUUUUCUGUACAUAAACAUCUGUCUAAGAUUCUGGUUAUUUUUUUACUUAUUUUUGGAUGUAUUACUAAAAGUAUAGUUGGCUUUUCCAAGGUAUGCAUUUCAGUAUGCAUUUUAGGAUAUAUCACCAGGUCAGAAAAAAGAUUCAAAUAAACUCUUUGAUGAAGUUAUUCUGUAUAAUCUAAUCUUUGUAGCUUUGCCAGCCUACAGACCCAUGUGACAUUCUGACAUUUAUAAUAAUGGCUUGAGUAAUAUCUUUCCAGCUAUCUGAUCAUGUCCCAUCUCUUUUAUGCUAGUCAAAUAUUUUAAAUGUUGAGUUCGUAAAAAAUCUUAGCUGUUGCUGAGGAAAGAAUGUAUAAAUGCAUUCCUGGUGCAGAAUACAUAUACAGUACAUAGCACACAGAUAAUAUAUUGAACUACAAAUCAGACAAAAUGAUUUUAUAUCUUAAGAUAUGCACCCAACUUCAUCAGAUGAUGAAACAUUAUACAGAACAGCUAGAAGUUGACAGGAAUGAGUUAGAAUGACUUGGAUUCUCUAGAUUCAAAUAUAUAUAGGAACAAUAUGAAGAACAAAAACUCUUAAUUACAUCUUAACACAUACAAUAAUAAUAGCACAGAGGCCCAUUGUGUUCAGAAUUUAUUUGGAUAGCAUAGUGUUUAUUUGGCCUCCAACUCCAACAUCAUUUGCUUUAUCUUGUUUCCAUUCCUUCCUGACAUCUAACAUCAAGAUCACUUCUGCUCUAGCUUAUCCAAGAGCAACAAAUGGGACAUGAAAUGUUAUUUUAGAAGUUAUAAUGCCUGGACAAGGCCAUGUGGUGGCAAGAACUUGUCUGGAGUCAGCACACCUAGGUUGCUGUAAAAUAGAUUAUUAGGAAGUUAAUACAAUGAUCAAGUGAAUGUAAAUGAAAAUAUUUUGUAACCUGAAAUGUUCCCCACAGUAGUAAAUACUAUUAUUUAUUAUCCUGAGAUGCGGCAGGGACAGAUAAGCCAUGUAAGGCAAGUGCUUUGCUUAUAUCAUUGUUCCUAUCAAAUGUCCCUAUUGUUCUUCCUGUGAGGAAGCACCCACUCUUUUAUUUCUCUCUACUUCAAAACCCAAGAAAAAUUUCAUUUUCUCUAAAAAAAGGUGUCAUCAGUCUUUUCAGUCCUUAGUAAUUAUCUUUUAUCAGAAUAUACAGCAUAGUUUUCUGUCUUAUCUUUUCUUCUUUGUCACACAUGCACUUUUAGAUUAUCUUUCUGUUAUGGGCUGAACUGUCUUCCUUCAAAAUUCAUAAAAACAUUGGAAUCCUAAAACCAAGUAACUCAGAGUAUAGUCAUAUAUGAAGAUACAGCCUUUAAAGAGAUGACCAAGUAAAAAUGAGGUUUUUGGAGUGGGCCGUGAUCCAAUGUGACUGAUGUUCCUACAAGAGAUGGAAAUUUGGACACAUGAAGAGACAUCACAGAUGCAUGCUCACAAAGAAAAGAUCAUGUGAGGACACAGGACACAGGGCCGUCUGCAAGCAAAAGACAGAAGCCUCUGACUAAACCAAACCCUAAGCCUCCAGAGCUAUAGAAAAUAAAUUAUAAUAAUAAAAUUUCAGAAAUAGAUUGUAAUUACCUUGAAAUAACCCCCAACAUCUUAUACUCUUGUAUACAUUAGGGACUGAGUUCUUAUUGCAUAUUCAAUAAAAGUUUUUAUCAUAAUGCAAUUUUGUGACUGGAUGAAGAAUGAAGCCCUUAAUUCUGAUAAAUAUUUUUAUUAAAAUAGCUGAUAAAUAUAUUUCAUAUUUAUGUCUUUCUUGAUCCAGGUAUUUUGAACAAAGUUCUACCUAUCAGUCAUCUAGAGGAUUUAGGGAAUAAGAAGAUUCUUAGACAAUUUUAUAUGGAUUGCCUAGAUUGACCUUGUUAACAACUUUCUAAGAUGGGUUAAAGAGGUAUUGAAUGUACCAUUUUACAGAAUCUGAGGAAUCCAAGAUUCAGUGACUUAUUGAAGUAAAAUAGCUAAGAAAUGACUUGGAAACUGACUCAGGUCUUUUUAUUCUAAUUCUAGUCUUGAUUACCAUUCCUGUCCUUCCCUUGUCUGGGGCAAUUGCAUUUUUGGAAAGAUAUACCAUCACUACUAUAAGUUGGAUGACUUAGAUUUCAGAAAUAGUUCUGCUCCAUACACUUAGCCUCAUUCAUUCAAUUCAAUUUUGUUAAUGACCUACUAUUUAUAGUGUACCAGGCAAAAAAUACUUAAUAUUGAACCUCUGGAUUCUUCCCCAUUAAAUGGAAAAUAAUAUCUGAUUUUCAUACCUCACAGAAGUGUUUGGAAGAUAAGCAUAAUAAAUAUGUUAACUCAGAAGAAGAGGUGAUUCAUUUCCAUAGUCAAGACCUUUCUGAUUACAUAAAUACCAGUUGUCCUAUCAGAG